ACCUUUUGUGGUGUAGUUGGUAGCGCCUUGAUUUAGUAAUUAAAAGUCCUAGGUUCAAGUCCCGGUCGGGGUA